rnacentral:misc_RNA from 1 species
GAUGAAGAACGCAGCAAAAUGCGAUAAGUAAUGUGAAUUGCAGAAUUCAGUGAAUCAUCGAAUCUUUGAACGCACAUUGCGCCCGCUGGUAUUCCGGCGGGCAUGCCUGUUCGAGCGUCAUUUCAACCCUCAAGCCCCCGGGUUUGGUGUUGGGGAUCGGCUCUGCCUUCUGGCGGUGCCGCCCCCGAAAUACAUUGGCGGUCUCGCUGCAGCCUCCAUUGCGUAGUAGCUAACACCUCGCAACUGGAACGCGGCGCGGCCAUGCCGUAAAACCCCAACUUCUGAAUGUUGACCUCGGAUCAGGUAGGAAUACCCGCUGAACUUAAGCAUAUCAUAAGCGGAGGA